rnacentral:rRNA from 1 species
UGGCGAGCGUUGUCCGGAUUUACUGGGCGUAAAGAGUGCGUAGGCGGAUGCUUAAGUGAGAUGUGAAAUACCCGGGCUUAACUUGGGGGCUGCAUUUCAAACUGGGCAUCUAGAGUACAGGAGAGGAAAGCGGAAUUCCUAGUGUAGCGGUGAAAUGCGUAGAUAUUAGGAAGAACACCAGUGGCGAAGGCGGCUUUCUGGACUGUAACUGACGCUGAGGCACGAAAGCGUGGGUAGCA